AGAGUUUGUCCUGGCUCAGGAUGAACGCUUUCUACAGGCUUAACACAUGCAAGUCGAGGGGCAGCAUGGUCUUAGCUUGCUAAGGCCGAUGGCGACCGGCGCACGGGUGAGUAACACGUAUCCAACCUGCCGUCUACUCUUGGACAGCCUUCUGAAAGGAAGAUUAAUACAAGAUGGCAUCAUGAGUCCGCAUGUUCACAUGAUUAAAGGUAUUCCGGUAGACGAUGGGGAUGCGUUCCAUUAGAUAGUAGGCGGGGUAACGGCCCACCUAGUCUUCGAUGGAUAGGGGUUCUGAGAGGAAGGUCCCCCACAUUGGAACUGAGACACGGUCCAAACUCCUACGGGAGGCAGCAGUGAGGAAUAUUGGUCAAUGGGCGAGAGCCUGAACCAGCCAAGUAGCGUGAAGGAUGACUGCCCUAUGGGUUGUAAACUUCUUUUAUAAAGGAAUAAAGUCGGGUAUGCAUACCCGUUUGCAUGUACUUUAUGAAUAAGGAUCGGCUAACUCCGUGCCAGCAGCCGCGGUAAUACGGAGGAUCCGAGCGUUAUCCGGAUUUAUUGGGUUUAAAGGGAGCGUAGAUGGAUGUUUAAGUCAGUUGUGAAAGUUUGCGGCUCAACCGUAAAAUUGCAGUUGAUACUGGAUAUCUUGAGUGCAGUUGAGGCAGGCGGAAUUCGUGGUGUAGCGGUGAGAUGCUUAGAUAUCACGAAGAACUCCGAUUGCGAAGGCAGCCUGCUAAGCUGCAACUGACAUUGAGGCUCGAAAGUGUGGGUAUCAAACAGGAUUAGAUACCCUGGUAGUCCACACGGUAAACGAUGAAUACUCGCUGUUUGCGAUAUACGGCAAGCGGCCAAGCGAAAGCGUUAAGUAUUCCACCUGGGGAGUACGCCGGCAACGGUGAAACUCAAAGGAAUUGACGGGGGCCCGCACAAGCGGAGGAACAUGUGGUUUAAUUCGAUGAUACGCGAGGAACCUUACCCGGGCUUAAAUUGCAGAUGAAUUACGGUGAAAGCCGUAAGCCGCAAGGCAUCUGUGAAGGUGCUGCAUGGUUGUCGUCAGCUCGUGCCGUGAGGUGUCGGCUUAAGUCCCGCAACGAGCGCAACCCCUAUCCCCAGUAGCCAGCGGUUCGGCCGGGCACUCUGAGGAGACUGCCAGGGAUAACCUGGAGGAAGGCGGGGAUGACGUCAAAUCAUCAUGCCCCUUAUGAUUUGGGCUACACACGUGCUACAAUGGCGUAAACAAAGGGAAGCGAACCCGCGAGGGUGGGCAAAUCCCAAAAAUAACGUCCCAGUUCGGACUGUAGUCUGCAACCCGACUACACGAAGCUGGAAUCGCUAGUAAUCGCGGAUCAGAAUGCCGCGGUGAAUACGUUCCCGGGUCUUGUACUCACCGCCCGUCAAG
rnacentral:rRNA from 1 species